AAAGCACCUCCAGUAAAGCCCAGUCCCUUAAACAUGGAAGAACUGCGGGGAAGUACCUUUACAGCAGCAGUGUUUGCGUGCCUCUCUCUUCUGGGAGAGCCCCGCUUCCUUAAGGCUCUUCCGCUGCUCCUGUCAGGGACUGCACACCAACAGCCCUCUCAGUCUUGGAAGCAAAAAGAAAAGAGCAACACCCACGUUAGGUGCCAUGAGCCACGCCACAGAGCUGCGUGAGCAACGGCACAGGUCCCGUAUUUACCUACCUGUUCACCUGUUCUGACCCUGCAGGUGUGAGAGGACUGCAGGAGGACCGGCCAGUCUCUCACAACACGGACGUUCCAGGUCUGCUGUCCUAUCCAUCUGUGAAACAGCCCUGUGCAGCCCUCCCGCAUCCCGUUCUGUGGAGGCUCACAUGUAUGUCAGUGACGUGACUGUUGAGGACCUGGCAGGGUACCUGGAACACCAUCUGCAUAUACCAAAGAAAAUGUCUGCCAUGGCAGAAAUGAUGUAUUCAUAACGAAACAUCAAAAACAGUCACAAUUCUAAGCACUAUCAGAAAUUUAAAUGGCUCGUUUGUGCCAUAUUUGUAAUGUUCUGUUUCAUCAAAUGUUUUAUUACACAGUACAGUUUAGUUUUGUAAUUAAGAGAAAAACUGUACAUAGUUGCAUAGACUCCUGUGGCUGAAAUGAUGUAUACUUAACUGAAAGCCAUAUUCAGUCACAUAGUAAUAGUUUAUUUUUGUAACUCGAAUAAAAACUGUAUAUAGUCU
rnacentral:lncRNA from 7 species